rnacentral:rRNA from 1 species
CCUACGGGGGGCAGCAGUGAGGAAUAUUGGUCAAUGGCCGUAAGCCUGAACCAGCCAAGUCGCGUGAGGGAAGACUGCCCUAUGGGUUGUAAACCUCUUUUAUGCGGGGAUAAAGGUGUCGACGUGUGGAUGUUUGCAGGUACCGCAUGAAUAAGGACCGGCUAAUUCCGUGCCAGCAGCCGCGGUAAUACGGAAGGUCCGGGCGUUAUCCGGAUUUAUUGGGUUUAAAGGGUGCGUAGGCCGGUCUUUAAGCGUGCCGUGAAAUUUUGUGGCUCAACCCUGAGAGUGCGGCGCAAACUGGAGACCUUGAGUGUGCGAAAGGCAGGCGGAAUUCGUGGUGUAGCGGUGAAAUGCUUAGAUAUCACGAAGAACCCCGAUUGCGAAGGCAGCCUGCCGCAGCGUUACUGACGCUGAUGCUCGAAAGCGCGGGUAUCGAACAGGAUUAGAUACCCGUGUAGUC